CAUUACAAGAAAUAGCUCAAUAAGGUGAUAGUAGAUCACGAGGUUGCAAUGCAGCUCGAUAAGGUGAUUGCAGAUCAUGAGGUUGCAAGGACAACUGGUUAGCAAUUCUCCAGCUUUAUUUUUAUUAUGUUAUGAGGUUGCGAGGAUAACUGGUUAGCAAUUUCUUCGGCUUUAUUUGAUCAUGUUAUGCAGCUCAAGAAGCAAUUCUUCAUCUUUGAGGACUUGAGGUCCUACUGGUUCUCACCGAGGCCACAUUCCGAAGCAUUGUCUUGUGCCCAGGUCCAUUUUGUAAGUUAGGUUUGUCAACUAUAAUAAAAUAGAGCAUGUGUUUUGGGACUAUAUGUUUUCUGAAACUGCAACUGGCUUGCGAUGGCCCAUUUACAUGUGUGGUCGGUGUUUUUGUAUAAAUGAAUUGAUGCCACACUUGAAUAUUCAGUGUGUGUCAGAUGUGAGUGAUGAAUAUUCACACUCUUGCACCAGAUCGUUUUUCUCUUCUUUUUCAUUCCGAACUUUGUUUUGGUGUUCCUCUCUGCCUACUGGCUUAUUUUUUCUCGCCGCCGUUCUUCAUGUCCAGAUUAUGCCCAUGGCCGUAUAUGCUCCAUCUCUGGGGUCAUUGGGUUAUUUUCCUUGGUCUGCUUCUAUUGUAUGGUACAACCUCAACAGCCACGCAGGUGAAUCUGCUGGAAUUACAAGGACUGAUCUAUGCUAAGAAGCUUAUUGUUGAAGAUGCUGCUGGUGCAUUUGCAAAGAUUGCGGUAGCGCCACUAGAGAGGGUCAAGAACUUACUUCAGGCUCGAACCGGAGGGUUUCAAUCCCUUGGGAUCAUCGUAUCCUUGAGGAAGUUGUGGAAAUACAAGUGAAUUCAAGGUUUUUACAAAUAUUGUUGGGAAACAUGCCUUAAGCUUUGACUGUCGAAUUCAGCAUGUUGAUUUUGAGCUCUGACUGCUGAAUUUACAACAUUGAUUUUCAUGCUUUGACUUCUCAACAAAGAUUAAUUAUUAUUUAAGGUCUGAUGCAAUGUCUGCACAUGUCUGCACAUGUUUGCUUGGUGGGAUAAUUACCUGAAAGUAUUUGUGUUUACACAGCCGGCGCCAGCUUCUUCCUCCCUAUCGGCCAGGCGAGGUGGUCAGCAGGAAGAGGCAGUGGCAUCUCUUCUCCCAGUUCCUUGGAUAUUGGACCUUGAUUCUUCUGCAGAAACUUGAAUAUAGGCAACUAAAGUACAUAUGCUUCUCUUGAAGGACAGAUUGGUCUUGAGGGUAAUGAGUAGAAAAAAAAUCAUUUUGUGAGUCAAUUGGAUUGGCUCAGUUUAUUUGAGAAGGCGGAAAUAACUCAAUGAAAGACAUAUAUUUUGUUAUGGGAAUAGCCAUUUACGUUUUCUUGAUAUGGUACUGAUGUCUUUCCUUUACUUUUUAUUGAAAGGUAAUUGCCUUUGCCUAUAUUUUGUCUGUUGCUGCUGUUUUUACUCCUCAGAUCGCACAUAUCAUGGAUUUUUUUUUGCAAUGUGGGCUUAGUUUGCAGUCAUAAUGUUCAACUAAUUGUUUGAGAGAUAACAUCUAUUAUUUUAGUCCUAUGAAGCAGAGUUGCUUCUCUGGAUGUUCUCCCCAUGAAUACAAUGGGUUUGAUUUUAAUCAUGAUAUGGAUAUUCUUUUCAGUUCAGCUCAUGGUUUGUCGUAUGAUAAACAAAAGAAUAUUCUUCAGCUUUUAGUUUGUUCAUGUGAUUCACGAUAGUUAUUACCGUGUGUGCAUGCUGUUUAAUAUGUGGUCUAAAAAUAUUGUUUUCUUCUAUUUCUAAUGAAAUUAUGGUUCUAUAAUCUAACACAUUUUUCACCCCUUAACAAAUCAGUGAUAAUCUAAUGGUCUUCUAUAUGGUUGCCUUAAAUCCCAAGUCAAAAAUCUUUUCUUUCUUCUGGUUGUGUUGUCGCCAGCAGGACGACAGGACGGAUGCGCAUCGGUGGAAAACUGGUCCUUGCUCCGAUUCAUCAGGGAGGACAACGGUCAGGGGAACAUCUGCAAGGCCUCAUCUAUGGUUUCUUCUUCACUGAAGAUGUUGGCGUGCCUUCGUCGGGCUAUCUCUCUCUGUGGAAUCCUGCUACGCGGCGAGGGCGGAGAUCAGGUUGCUGCCGCAGUUCACAAAUGCCAUGGUCUGAAUUGACCGGUCAUAUUGGGCUCACAGAUUUUCCAGAAGAAGUAGCUCUAUUUUACAGGACUGCUGUAACAAACCAGGAAUCUAGACAAUAAGCUUCAUCAGCAGCAGCUUCCCUGGUGUAUCAGCCGAAAUCUCGGGCAGACGAAUCAGGCAAAAAGAAGACUCGCAUUAGAAGCAGGAAGCUUUCUGGGAUCAAAUAAAUUAUGGGUUCCCUUGAUAUUAAACUAAAGUCUAUAUGUGCAUGUAUCAGUCUUGGUCUAUGAGGAGAUGCGUGCUAUGUAUGAUGAUGUGUUGGUGGCGACCUCGAUCUUGAGCCACCACACCUGGCUUCUACCACCAUGCAGAUAUCUUACUGCAUUUAACUAUAUGCAUUUUUCGUGGCGUUGUUUUUUCUUUUCCUGAACCUUUAGAUAUACCGAGGCAAGGCAGUAGAGAGAGUAUACUUUCGUGGGGAGCUGCCACCCCUUGUUGGUAGUGUAAACUUGGCCUUCUUUGGCUCUUUUCUAUGUGAUUGUACACAUUUUCAUGGUGUGUUAUCGAAAAAAAUUACUGCA